UUUCCAGAGAUGGAUUGGUGCCUUCGGGAACUGUGAGACAGGUGCUGCAUGGCUGUCGUCAGCUCGUGUUGUGAAAUGUUGGGUUAAGUCCCGCAACGAGCGCAACCCUUAUCCUUUGUUGCCAGCGAUUAGGUCGGGAACUCAAAGGAGACUGCCAGUGAUAAACUGGAGGAAGGUGGGGAUGACGUCAAGUCAUCAUGGCCCUUACGACCAGGGCUACACACGUGCUACAAUGGCGCAUACAAAGAGAAGCGACCUCGCGAGAGCAAGCGGACCUCAUAAAGUGCGUCGUAGUCCGGAUUGGAGUCUGCAACUCGACUCCAUGAAGUCGGAAUCGC
rnacentral:rRNA from 1 species